GCGGCUGUAGCUCAGUUGGUAGAGCCCCGGAUUGUGAUUCCGGUUGUCGUGGGUUCAAUCCCCAUCAGUCGCC
rfam:Pseudoalteromonas luteoviolacea B = ATCC 29581, WGS project CAPN01000000 data, contig: 23